CGACCCCAGGUCAGGCAGGACUACCCACUGAGUAUAAGCAUAAAAAUAAGUGGAGGAGAAGAAACUUAUAAGGAUUCCCCUAGUAACGGCGAGCGAACCGGGAGUAGCCCAGCUUGAAAAUCGGGCGGCUGUGCCGUCCGAAUUGUAGUCUAGAGAGGCGUCCUCAGUGACGGACCGGGCCCAAGUCCCUUGGAAAGGGGCGCCUGGGCGGGUGAGAGCCCCGUCUGGCCCGGACCCUGUCGCCCCAUGAGGCGCCGUCAACGAGUCGGGUUGUUUGGGAAUGCAACCCAAAUCGUGUAGUAGACUGCGUCCAAGGCUAAAUACAGGCGAGAGACCGAUAGCGAACAAGUACGGUCAGGGAAAGAUGAAAAGGACUUUGGGAAGAGAGUCAAAGAGUGCUUGAAAUUGCCGGGAGGGAAGCGGAUGGGGGCCGGCGAUGUGCCCCGGCCGUAUGCGGAACAACUCUUCCUGGUCUGCCGCUCAGCUCGGGGUGUGGACUGUUGUCGGCCGCGCCGACGGCGUAGGUGCCCCCAGUGGCCGUCGUCGGCACGGCCGGUACCCGCGCGCCGAAAGGCGUGUCCCUCAGGGCACUGUGCUGCAAUGACCCGCGGACUCCCCAUCCGACCCACCUUGAAACACAGACCAAGGAGUCUGACAUGCGUGUGAGUCGACGGGUUCUGAAACCUGGGUUGCGCAAGGAAGCUGACGAGCGCGAGGCCCUCACGGGCCACACCGCUGGCCGACCCUGAUCUUCUGUGAAGGGUUCGAGUGGGAGCAUGCCUGUCGGGACCCGAAAGAUGGUGAACUAUGCCUAAGCGAGGCGAAGCCAGAGGAAACUCUGGUGGAGGCUCGAAGCGAUACUGACGUGCAAAUUGUUAGUCUAACUUGGGUAUAGGGGUGAAACACUAAUCAAACCAUCUAGUAGCUGGUCCCCACCGAAGUUUCCCUCAGGAUAGCUGGAGCCCAUUACGAGUUCUAUCAGGUAAAGCCAAUGAUUAGAGGCAUUGGGGACGCAACGUCCUCGACCUAUUCUCAAACUUUAAAUAGUUAGGAUGGCGCGGCUGCUUCGGUGAGCAGGUAUAGUUGGUAUUCCCGGAUCUCCAUGUUUUUAGGUACUCCAUCUUUGAAAGUAUAAUUAGGAAGCAUAGUGAAGAUUUCAGCUUCCGCUAUUUUCUCUUAUUAGUGAUGAUUUCUUUCAUAUACUUUGCAUAAGGUGGCAUUUUCAAGAUAUCAGUCAAGCGAGUACGCAAAAAUACUGACCUUAGCAUUUCAGCAAAGCUUUCAAAUUCUUCAUCAUCUUUCUUUUUAGUUGACUUGGGUGGAAAAUGCAUAGGUUUUUGUACCCACGGUUCUCUUUCUUUACCAUGUUUUCUAGCCACAGUCUCUUUUAUCAUAUCUUUUAUUCUUAGGUUGUGGGUUAUCAAGAUCAACAGAUGGUUCUAUCUCAACAUCAUUAUUUGGUUCUUUUUUAUUGUUUGGUUGGGUAUCUUCAUGAACAUCAUCAUUAUCUUUUUCAUUAUCACUAGGUGGAUGUUCAUUACCAGAUUGAGUUUCAACAUUAGAGAUAGAAGUUUCAUUUUCAUUAUCAGGAGGUUUUUCUACUUUAGGUUCACUAGAAGCAUGCAAAGUCCUAUCAUUUUUCUUCUUCUUCUUUUUAGAAGGACUAGGUGCACUAGUAUUAUUUCUUUGUGAUUCUUGUUCAAUUCUUUUUGGGUGUCCCUCACGAUAAAGUGGUUCCUGAGUCAUUUUACCUUCUCUAGUUGCAACUCUAACAUCAAAGUCAUGUAUAUUAUUAUUCAUUUCAUCAAGCAAUUCUCUUUGAGAUUUAGCAACUUGUUCUAAAUUGGUUUGAACCAUAGAAGCAUAUUUUCCAACACCUCUAACAUCAUUUGAGAUUCUAAAUAAUAAGUACUCAAGCACGCCAUCAUAUUAGAAUUGUAUUUCAAUUGUUUCAUAACAUUUGCAUUGAAGUGAUCUUGUUUUCUAAUGUAGUUUUCAAACUCAUAAAGGCAUUGACUAGGAUGCACAUUGUGAGGAUUCUCAUUAUCAUUGAAUUUCAUUAGAGAAUUUACCUCUAUCACCUUAGGUGGUGGUGGUGUAUUAAGCCCAUGUAUUUCUUCAAUAGGAGGUAAAUUUUUAAUAUCGUCAGCUUUAAUACCUUUUUUCCUUCAUAGAUUUCUUUGCCUCUUGCAUAUCUUCAGGACUGAGAUAUAAUAUACCCCUCUUCUUUGGAGUGGGUUUAGCCAGUGGUUCGGGAAGAGUCCAAUCAUCAUAAUUUUUCAAUGUAUUAUCCAAUAAUUCUUUAGCUUACCCAACAGUUCGUUCGCUGAAAACACAAUCAGCACAACUCUCUAGGAAGUCCCUAGAAGCUAGUCCAUUAGAGAAGAUAUCAAGNCUUUAGCUUACCCAACAGUUCGUUCGCUGAAAACACAAUCAGCACAACUCUCUAGGAAGUCCCUAGAAGCUAGUCCAUUAGAGAAGAUAUCAAGUAUUUCAUUUUUCUUAAGAGGAUGAUCAGGAAAAGCAUUAAGUAAUUGGCAAAGUCUCCCCCAAGCUUGUGGGAGACUCUCUUAUUUAGUUUGCACAAAGUUAAAUAUUUCCUGUAAGGCAGCUUGUUUUUUAUGAGCAGGAAAAUAUUUUUUAGAUAAGUAAUAAAUCAUAUCCUGGGGACUACGCACAUAAGAUUUUUAUGAGCAGGAAAAUAUUUUUCAGAGAAGUAUUGUACCAAGCUUGAGCAUCACCCUUUAAUGAGAAAGGAAAUAAUGUAAUAAUAAAGUAGUAGCGAGUUUUCUCCUCGUGAGUAAAAAGGGUGGCCAUGUCAUUCAACUUAGUAAGAUGUGCCACAACAGUUUCAGUUUCAUAACCAUGGAAAGGAUCAGAUUUAACCAAAGUAAUUAACUCUGGGUCGACAGAGAAUUCAUAAUCCUUAUCAUCAAUAAAAAUAGGUGAAGUAGCAAACUUAGGAUCACAUUUCAUUCUGGCAUUCAGAGAUUUUUCUUUAUACUUGCAUAGUAUUUUCUCUAGAUCAUCUCUAUCCUUACAAGCAAGAAUAUCUCUAGUUCUCUCCUCAUUCAUAACAUAACCUUCCGGUACCUUAGGCAAUUCAUACCUAGGAAGGCUAGUUCUAGCAGGUGUUUCAGGAGUUUCAAUUUCAAGCUCAUCAUCAUUUGUUCAUCAAGAAAUUCACCAAGUGGCAUAUCAUUAUCAUGAAGCAAGGUUCUAGAAUCAUCAUAAGCAUUAUCCAUAGUAGAAGUAGCAUCAUCAAUAACUUGCGACAUAUUAGAAUUGAUAGCAUGUGGUGGUGUUGCAAGUUUAUGUUGGAAAUAUGCCCUAGAGGCAAUAAUAAAAGUGUUAUUAUUAUAUUUCUUUGUUCAUGAUAAUAGUCUUUUAUUCAUGCUAUAACUGUAUUAUCCGGAAAUCGUAAUACACGUGUGAAUACAUAGACCACAAUAUGUCCCUAGUGAGCCUCUAGUUGACUAGCUCGUUGUGAUCAACAAAUAGUCAUGGUUUCCU
rnacentral:ncRNA from 1 species